CUGAGUCACAAGUUGUCAUUAGUUUCAUAGGCAUUUAGAAACCAAAGUACAGGAAAAAACAAUCCAUCUGCCCACUGAUGAAAGUGAUGAAAAAGGGUUCAGCAAAGUGAAUACAUCUCUGAGUUGUCAACAAUUCAUGGCAAUCCAUCAACUAGAGCUUUGGAGCCAUAUUCUGCUGGCUGCUAGCUAAAACAAGAAUGUCACUGUGUUUUCAUUAAACUUAGCUACAUGGAUAGCUAAAUGGGACUCCUUCAGCCUGCAAGCUAGUUCAACUUGCAAGCUCGUUCAGGGAGCUACAGUCAUUCUACUGGCUGGUGAAAAUAUCAAACACACCCUUUGUUUCAAGGUGGGCUAUUUAAGCUGAUGCCCUGCCCACUGUGGGUAUGCUGCACAGGUGCUGAACAUGGCUCCUUUGCUAGCUAGUUUCUGUGCUUUAACAUUUGCAUCUACUGAUACAUGUCUUGUUUGCAGUUUUGAGAAAUACUGCAGAUGGGGCCAAUAUUUUGGCACUGGAAUGACUUGGUGGAGAAUAAUUGUUUGUGCUGCACACUGGCAAGAUUUCACCUGUAGGUUAACUAUUGGACAUAUUAGGCCUCAAAAACACCCUUCAAGCUUGAAGUUUGAAGACAUGGCACUACAGAGAGACUGGACAGCACUGCUUCACUUCACCAAGCUAUGGUUUAUCCUUGGCCAGGACUCAAGACUCAACUCCAGCCUUCAUCCAUGCCAUGAAGCCAACCACUCAUCAACAGGUUUUUCUGGAUGUGAGGUCUGCCAGGCUCUCUCUGCGGAGGGCACGAUUAGGACGAGAAGGGUGGGAAACACCAGCCAGAAAAAGGACCCACAUGGUGAUAAGGGCAAAGAAUCCCAAGCACGUCAUGGAUUUUAUAAGCUUGUCAUGGUUUUACUCCCAUCCCCUGCAGCAGAGUGCAUUUACUGUGAAGGAAACAGCACAAAUAAUCAUGUUGCCUUUGCCCUAUAACUGUAUCAAAAUGUUGUUUGGGAGCUUCAAGACAGCUAAACUUCUCAGUCCCUCACUGUCAUAGAGAUAGAAAGGAUGACUUCACAGAGCUUUUCCUGAAGGAGAAAUAUCUUGGCUGCACAAUUCUCUUCCUGGCACUAGCUAGCUGGAUGUCUCAGUUAAAGAGUAUAGCCCAUGGAAAAUGUUUCUGUAAUUUAUUUGAUCACAUUAAAAUUGGGAACAGA